rnacentral:lncRNA from 1 species
GUUCGUUCUUUAUCGUUUUCCAGGUUCUUCAAAUCAUAAUUCCUGAGUUCUCUAAUUACUUUUAUUUACAUUCAAGUUAUUUAUUGGAUUCCCGCUUGCAUCAAGUGCUCUAGUCUUUAUAACGCUAGAGUAGUAAUUAAUAGAUUAGACGUGGUGUUUAGUCUUGCGAUUACCUAGAAUUGCACCCAAUCCUGCGGAUUGUUGUGGUAGCCUUAGGGUAGUGACAGCCCUAACGGUCGACGUAUUCCACCACGUUCGGAUCGGUGUUUGUAGGACCGUAGUCAGACCUUCCUAGCCCCCUUCUCAUCUCUUUCUGUGGUUAGUGCUCUGAUGUCCCGAUAUAGAUAAUCUUGAAGUAAUUCUUGAUUCUUAGAUCAACUAGAGAACUCUCAGGAAACUUUCUCUCUUCCCACCAAAAAUAAUCAUAUAGUUAUCCUUGGGUGAUCUUGGAUCUUAAUUAGUACACUCACGUUCUCUGUGGAAAAUCGAUACUCUGGAAUACUCCCGGGUGAAAGCUACAUCGGUAUCCGUGUGCUUGCGGAUUUUUUCUGUUUGCGUUUAAAAUACCCAACAAGCUUUUUGGCGCCGUUGCCGGGGAACGGUAGCUGUGCUAGUUUCGAACCAAGUCGUUCGUGUAUCCUUUUUCUUUUUCUUUUUUUACCACACUCACCUUAUCACUUUCACCAUACCACAUGGAUUUCACUCUAAGCAUUAAUGAGCAUGGAAUUUAUUUCAUAGCCACUUCACUUACUCCAUGCUCAUAUGCAACAUCUUCACAAUCCAUUGGUCUCUCCAACAUCACCACAUUCGAGAUCUCCAACCCCCUCUUCCUUUCUAUUCAUAAAAACUUUAAAAGGGCGGUUGUCGAUGUAUAUUUCUAUAAUAAAUUUUGCAGAUCUCGUUGAGUUGAUCUUGAUAUAGGUCAGCGUUGGAGGGGAAACCACUUCACUGACAUAAAUUGAUGGUUUCCCAAGGACAAGCUUAGCGUCCUAAAAUAAGCACUGAUCAGACCAUAACAUAAACUUUUAAUUAUUUGCAACAUUACCUUGUGUGUUGAGCAUAUAAGGAUAAUUGUAAAAAUAUUCCUUCGGGUAUUCUUGUCACUAACCUUUUCAGGAUUGGAGCAAGAAGAUCGGAUGAAUGACAAGCACAAGGUAUGUCCAACCAAUCAUCAUACAACAUUGAAUUAAACUCAUCCAACUUGAAUUUUGCAAAAUUCAAGCUUGGGGAGUACUUUACAUAAAAACAUCCUUUGCCAUGUUGCU